UUGAUCUAGUUUUAUGAUGCCGAAGUCGGCUUGCAUGUUCAGGAGAUUAUGGCAAUUAUGGAUGUUGGUCAUUAUCACUGAAACCGUAUUGUUGCUUCAGCAGUAAUGAAGGUAGAGCUGGACUUGCAGGAACAUCAUCUGCUGCUAGACUUUAUUCACCAGAACAAACUGAAAGCCAAUCUGCAGCAGCUGAGAUUCUGGGAGGUUCAACACCAAAACCUGAUGCUUCAAACUGAGCCGUCAACUGGACCAAGACACCUUUCAAACUACAGUAGUUAACCUGCUCUGUUGGUAGAUGUUAUGGUGUCUCCUCAAUCUGCCUUGGUCUUCUUUGAAUACACAUCUUUUUGGUGUUUUCUUUUAAUUGAUUAUAGUCAAUAUUUGAACAUCCAUGUAAGUUUUAAGACAUUUCAUUGUUAACUUUAGGUAGCUGUGAAUCCACCCGUGUUAAUGUGAACUUAUCUUGUUAAAGAUUCAACAGAUUUGUUGCAUUCUUAAAUAUUUAAUCUGUCUUUUGUGUGCAGUGAAAUGAACAUUAAAGUUAAUUCAGGAAA